rnacentral:rRNA from 1 species
GGUCCAGACUCCUACGGGAGGCAGCAGUAGGGAAUCUUCCGCAAUGGGCGAAAGCCUGACGGAGCAACGCCGCGUGAGUGAUGAAGGUCUUCGGAUCGUAAAACUCUGUUAUUAGGGAAGAACAUAUGUGUAAGUAACUGUGCACAUCUUGACGGUACCUAAUCAGAAAGCCACGGCUAACUACGUGCCAGCAGCCGCGGUAAUACGUAGGUGGCAAGCGUUAUCCGGAAUUAUUGGGCGUAAAGCGCGCGUAGGCGGUUUUUUAAGUCUGAUGUGAAAGCCCACGGCUCAACCGUGGAGGGUCAUUGGAAACUGGAAAACUUGAGUGCAGAAGAGGAAAGUGGAAUUCCAUGUGUAGCGGUGAAAUGCGCAGAGAUAUGGAGGAACACCAGUGGCGAAGGCGACUUUCUGGUCUGUAACUGACGCUGAUGUGCGAAAGCGUGGGGAUCAAACAGGAUUAGAU